UACGAAGGGGGCUAGCGUUGCUCGGAAUUACUGGGCGUAAAGCGUGCGUAGUCGGUUAUCUAAGUCGGGUGUGAAAUCCCCGGGCUCAACCUGGGAAUUGCAUUCGAUACUGGAUAGCUAGAGUUCGGCAGAGGGAAGCGGAAUUUCCGGUGUAGCGGUGAAAUGCGUAGAUAUCGUUUGGAACGCCGAUGGUGAAAACAGGUCGCUGGGGUUGUGCUGACGCUGAGACACGAAAGCCAGGGGAGCGAACGGG
rnacentral:rRNA from 1 species